CUCUCAUUCAACAUCUCCCCUAAAUUCUAAACUCACUCUUUUCUCUUUCAUUCCAUAGAUAUGGAAUGAAAGAGAAAAGAGUGAGUAACCAGUGUCAUGGACGGAUACAUCCAUUUUCGGCCAUUUUAAUGUUUAAACGUAGGUCGAAAAGCUUGACAAAUAUUUCUUACGCAACCAUUCUAAAUUGAAAUAUUGUCGCCGACGAAUACCUCCCUUUCUCGGCCAUUUUGACGCUUAAACGUGAGUUGAAAAGCUUGACAAAUAUUUCUCAUGCAACCAUGCUGAACUCAAAUAUCCCAUUCAAUUCAGAUAAAUAUGCUCGAGGUGUUGGAUCGAAUCUCCAUUUUGGAUUUUAACACUGAAUAAUUUUCAAGGUAUGGGUUCAUCUUCUCUUGAUUCCUUUGUUUGUGUUUGAGUAUUUCAUUUGUUACGUUAAAAAUUCUUGGACCACCCAGUAAAAUAUACUGGGUUAGAAGUUAUAACUUUAGACAGGAAAAGAGAAAAGAGGAGCCCAUUUGUUUAACCCAGUUUAUUGUUAUAGUAACUGAUGAGAUUGUGAUGGUUUGCAUUUUUUCUCUUAUUAUUAUUAUUAUUAUUAUUAUUAUUUAUUUUUUAUUUUUUGUACUGUGGAGAUGGCCGCAUCAAAGGUGGAAGCAGCAACGACUGCUUCUGCUGACACAAUGUCGAGUAUAUGGGGAUUUCGUCUGACAAUAUAACAGGGUUGGUGCUAUUUUUUCUUCCAGCUUCUUCUUUGACGCCAAUUUAAAAAAAUAAAAUAAAAAAAAUCUCAACUUGGAGGAUUCCCACCGCCUCGCCCCUAGAGAUUUGUGAGGGAGGUAAAUCGUGGAAUGUGCUUCAGCAGAUCAGGAAACAAGAGCUGCAUGUACACUGCGUUUACAAGGAGUCAAAUUCCUUGUCUCAGGAAUCGAACCCCCACCUUACAGCUGCCAGCAAGGCAUGAGAUAACCUCACUCCUGUCUGUACAUUGACGCCAAUUUUGUCGUUAAGAAGAAAGGGUUAAAGAAAGUCGAAUGGUUAUGGGUUUUGUUAUUGAUCAUAGUUCUAAUGAUGUAAUGAAGAGAAUUUUGAUUUGUGUUGUAGAAAAAUUUCUCGAAUUUUAAUUAGUUUAAGAGUCAAAUCAGGAAAAAAUAUCUUUUUAUUUAUUUUCAAUGUUUUUUGGUUGGGACUCCUGAUAUGACUUUAUUCAUACUCUAUGGUCGAAUUUUGGUUGUGAUGUUCUGAUGACAGUGAUUGCGCAUGUAGUACUACUAUUGAUGGUGGUAACGCCUAGUCAAUGGCUUGUGGUGUUGGU
rnacentral:lncRNA from 1 species